rnacentral:rRNA from 1 species
GAUGAACGCUAGCUAUAGGCUUAACACAUGCAAGUCGAGGGGAAACGGCAGAGAGUGCUUGCACACUUUGGACGUCGACCGGCGCACGGGUGAGUAACACGUAUCCAACCUGCCCUUUACUUGGGGAUAACCCGUUGAAAGACGGACUAAUACCCAAUGAUAUUCAUUGAUGACAUCUGAUUUGAAUUAAAGAUUUAUCGGUAUAGGAUGGGGAUGCGUCUGAUUAGCUUGUUGGUGAGGUAACGGCUCACCAAGGCCACGAUCAGUAGGGGUUCUGAGAGGAAGGUCCCCCACAUUGGAACUGAGACACGGUCCAAACUCCUACGGGAGGCAGCAGUGAGGAAUAUUGGUCAAUGGACGAGAGUCUGAACCAGCCAAGUAGCGUGCAGGAUGACGGCCCUAUGGGUUGUAAACUGCUUUUGUUUGGGAAUAAUCGACAUUACGUGUAAUGUUUUGCAUGUACCAUUCGAAUAAGGACCGGCUAAUUCCGUGCCAGCAGCCGCGGUAAUACGGAAGGUCCAGGCGUUAUCCGGAUUUAUUGGGUUUAAAGGGAGUGUAGGCGGUUGGUUAAGCGUGUUGUGAAAUGUAGAUGCUCAACAUCUGACUUGCAGCGCGAACUGGCUGACUUUGAGUACACACAACGUGGGCGGAAUUCUGGUGUAUCGGUGAAAUGCUUAGAUAUUAUGAAAACUCCGAUUGCUAAGGCAGCUUAUUGCAGUGGUUACUGACUCUUAAGCUCGAAAGUGCGGGCAUCAAAAGAUUAAUACCCCCGGUAUUCAAGGCGAAUUCCACCAGGAUAUCAUCCUCUCAUACCGUCCACCUCCGGGGGGAAAAGCAAAACAUACCUUACUCCCUUACGGAGGCCAAUACCAAUCUCUCCUCCCCUUUUUACCCCCCGCUAU